GGCGCACGGGUGGAGUAACACGUGGGUCAAUCUGCCCUCCGAUGGGGAAUAACUCCGGGAAACCGAAAGCUAAUUCCGCAUAACAUUCCCUGGAACUCCGGUUCGGGGAAUCAAAGGAGUAAUGCGUCCGGAGGAGGAGCCCGCGCCCUGAUUAGCUAGUUGGUAGGGUAACGGCCUACCAAGGCAAUGAUCGGUAGCUGGUCUGAGAGGAUGGCCAGCCACACUGGAACUGAGACACGGUCCAGACUCCUACGGGAGGCGGCAGUGGGGAAUCUUGCGCAAUGGGCGAAAGCCUGACGCAGCGACGCCGCGUGGGGGAUGAAGCUUCUCGGAGUGUAAACCCCUUUCGACUGGGACGAAUGCCCGCAAGGGGAGUGACGGUACCAGUAGAAGGAAGCCCCUGGCUAACUACGUGCCAG
rnacentral:rRNA from 1 species